UGGUAAUUAGUUUAAACCAAAACAAAUGAUUUCGACUCAUUAAAUUAUAAGACUAUUAUAAUUACCAA
rnacentral:tRNA from 1 species